rnacentral:rRNA from 1 species
CUGAAGGGUAGUACUUCUUCGGACAAUAUACAAGGUGCUGCAUGGUUGUCGUCAGCUCGUGCCGUGAGGUGUCGGGUUAAGUCCCAUAACGAGCGCACCCCUAUCAUUAGUUGCCAUCAGGUCAAGCUGGGGACUCUAAUGAAACUGCCUACGCAAGUAGUGAGGAAGGUGGGGAUGACGUCAAAUCAGCACGGCCCUUACGUCCAGGGCUACACACGUGCUACAAUGGCCGGUACAAAGGGCAGCUACCUGGUGACAGGAUGCUAAUCUCAAAAGCCGGUCUCAGUUCGGAUCGGAGUCUGCAACCCGACUCCGUGAAGCUGGAAUCGCUAGUAAUCGACGCAUCAGCCAUGGCGCGGUGAAUACGUUCCCGGGCCUU